CUACCGGGGUAUCUAAUCCUGUUUGCUCCCCACGCUUUCGCGUCUCAGCGUCAGUUCCGAGCCAGUGAGCCGCCUUCGCCACUGGUGUUCUUGCGAAUAUCUACGAAUUUCACCUCUACACUCGCAAUUCCACUCACCUCUCUCGGACUCAAGGUCUUCAGUAUCAAAGGCAGUUCCAAGGUUGAGCCUUGGCAUUUCACCCCUGACUUAAAGACCCGCCUACACGCGCUUUACGCCCAGUAAUUCCGAACAACGCUAGCCCCCUUCGUAUUACCGCGGCUGCUGGCAC
rnacentral:rRNA from 1 species